UGAUCUCCCUAAAGAAAUUUAGUAGUAUCUUGCUAACAACAGGACAGCCUGAGAACUCAUAGUAAAAACUGGCUACUGUGCACAAUUUUAUUUAAAGGGAUUAUUUGUAUCAACGUUCCAAACAUUUUCAGAAUCACACCAUUGGAUUAAAAAAAUUGGAUCUUAACCCUCUCAGUGUGGUUCACAGCUCAAGUGUAAUAAAGAGGGGUGAGUGGGGAAAUAACUCAUGGUUUUAAUAUUUGGCUCAAUUCUGAAAAUAUUACUAGAGGUAGAUUAAUCAUUUUUGAAUACAUUUCCUCCUUAGGAGCAAUUUCCAAAAAAUUGAAGGUACCACGAGCAUCUGUACAAACAGCUGUAUGAGUAGCCAGGCGGAGAACUUAAUUCCUACUAGUUCCUAUAGACUACCCUAAAAUGGUACUACCCCUUUAAGAGUCCGCUGAUGUCAUGCGUGCGCAAUGCAUCAUUUGUACAGCCCGGUCAUGUAGUGCAAUUAGAGGUAAUUAACGCACUUGAUUAGGAACGGAUCGUACUGGAAAUGUAUGCAACAUCAACCCAAACUAAGACUGGCUGCACGGUGUGGCACUUAAACUCGUCUGGGAAUAUUGUCUUUAACCACUCAAAAGGAUGCGAUUGCCGCAGAAGACACCAGGGACAGAGCUAACACGUAGGACCACCGCUCGUGAACAGGCACAAUGGAAGUCCAAUUUUUUUUUUUUGUGCGGCAUACGCACAGAGCGGCCUGGAAAUGUCUCAUUUGUUUUGCUCCAUUACGCAGUGUUAUAAUAAAAUCAUUCCAAUUUGUUCAUUUA